rnacentral:lncRNA from 1 species
UCCGAAUAUCGAGAAUCAUUACUAGAUGAUAACUUUGAUUAGUACAGAAAAUAAUUUCUAUACUAUGGGCUUAGAGUUUGAACCUAUGGAGUCACGCAUAAAAUUAAGCAAUGUAGAAAAUAAUUGACCUAAUGUCUAUGUGUUCCAUUUGAAAAUAUGUGAUUUGAUUGAACAAUUAGAUUUACUUAAUUGAGAAUUAAGUUAGAAGUCAUACGGGAUUAAAUA